rnacentral:tRNA from 1 species
GGCCUCAUAGCUCAGCUGGUAGAGCACUCGCGAUACUAAAGCGAGGAUGACAGCCAUAGGUGGGUUCGAAUCCCGUAGGGGUCA